rnacentral:rRNA from 1 species
AUACGAAGGGGGCUAGCGUUGUUCGGAAUCACUGGGCGUAAAGCGCACGUAGGCGGAUUUGCCAGUCAGGGGUGAAAUCCCGGGGCUCAACCUCGGAACUGCCUUUGAUACAGCAGGUCUAGAGUCCGGAAGAGGUGAGUGGAAUUCCUAGUGUAGAGGUGAAAUUCGUAGAUAUUAGGAGGAACACCAGUGGCGAAGGCGGCUCACUGGUCCGGCACUGACGCUGAGGUGCGAAAGCGUGGGGAGCAAACAGGAUGAGAUACCCUGGUAGUCCACGCCGGAAACGAUGGAUGCUAGCCGUUGGCAAGCUUGCUUGUCGGUGGCGCAGCUAACGCAUUAAGCAUCCCGCCUGGGGAGUACGGCCGCAAGGUUAAA